GUCGGUUCCAGCUCAGAGAACAGAGCAGCAGCUGCUGGGAGUUGGCAGCAGACCAAGUCUCAGCUGUAUUCUUGGCCUUCUGCCUCCUCCAGGCACUUACCAGGGGCGCGUGACCAAGGAAACAGCUGAGCCCCCACCUCAAAGAGGAAACGCAACCGCCACAGCCCCCGCCGCCACCUGCUCCGGAGCCAAACAACCAACAAAUUCCUGCUCAAUUCGAAGGGUGGGCUGAAAAUUUGCCAAGAACACGGACGACUGGACAGUUCACUUUCAUUUGCAACAAUUUCCAAGAGGACCCUCGGUUACACAGCAUAAUUACCAAACUAAAGCAAACAUGUUAAAUGCCCUGCACCUUUUUUUGAGAUGCCAAGUAUGGCCUUCUUGGGUGCCAUGAAGCAGUAAGAUAGCCUCAGGCAUCAGCACACAUUCCAGGUCCAAAUCCAAUUCCCACGGCCCAGCAGGCAAGCUGGGACAGUGGAAAUGCGAGUAUAUGGCCCAGCAUUACUCCGGAGGACUGUGGGGGUGAGCGUGCCACUUCCCAGAACCGUGGCUCUGACAGCUUCAACUGCACUCACGUCAGUGCUAUUAAGAGAUGUUCCUAACUUCAAACAUUGUGAAAUCUCACCCCGCUCCGAGGACACAUCCCUCCAGAUCUGUCUCCGAUCAACACGGGAGGCUGUGCUUUGUGCUAUUAAAAAUUUCUCUGGAACAAGAAGGGCAAAAUGCUGAUGCUUCAUGAUGCAUACAUGGGGGUUUGUUACACAAUUAUCUCCAUUUUGUGCACAUUUAAAAAAUUUCCAUAAUAAAAAGUUCAAAGUAUAAAAA